rnacentral:rRNA from 1 species
UACAGAGGGUGCAAGCGUUGUUCGGAAUCAUUGGGCGUAAAGGGCGUGUAGGCGGUUUGUUAAGUCAUGUGUGAAAUCCCUCGGCUCAACCGGGGAACGACGCAUGAAACUGGCAAGCUAGAGUACCAAAGAGGGGGGUGGAAUUCCCGGUGUAGUGGUGGAAUGCGUAGAUAUCGGGAGGAACACCAGUGGCGAAGGCGGCUUCCUGGACCUGAUCUGACGCUGAGGAGCGAAAGCGUGGGGAGCGAUCCGG